GACGAACGCUGGCGGCGUGCUUAACACAUGCAAGUCGAGCGGAAAGGCCCUUUCGGGGGUACUCGAGCGGCGAACGGGUGAGUAACACGUGAGUAAUCUGCCCUUGGCUUCGGGAUAACCACCGGAAACGGUGGCUAAUACCGGAUACGACCAGCCCCGGCAUCGGGUGUUGGUGGAAAGUUUUUUCGGCCAGGGAUGUGCUCGCGGCCUAUCAGCUUGUUGGUGGGGUAAUGGCCUACCAAGGCUUCGACGGGUAGCCGGCCUGAGAGGGUGACCGGCCACACUGGGACUGGGACACGGCCCAGACUCCUACGGGAGGCAGCAGUGGGGAAUAUUGGACAAUGGGCGAAAGCCUGAUCCAGCAACGCCGCGUGAGGGAUGACGGCCUUCGGGUUGUAAACCUCUUUCAGUACCGACGAAGCGCCGAUGAUGGUGGUGACGGUAGGUACAGAAGAAGCACCGGCCAACUACGUGCCAGCCGCCGCCGUAAUAC
rnacentral:rRNA from 1 species